CCGACCUUAGCUCAGUUGGUAGAGCGGAGGACUGUAGUAGUUGCAGAUAAAUCCUUAGGUCGCUGGUCGAAUCCGGCAGGUCGGA
rnacentral:tRNA from 1 species